rnacentral:rRNA from 1 species
GUGGGGAAUAUUGCGCAAUGGGCGAAAGCCUGACGCAGCGACGCCGCGUGGGUGAUGAAGGCCUUCGGGUCGUAAAGCCCUGUCGGGGGGGACGAAUCCUUGGUGACCUAAUACGUUGCCGACCUGACGGUACCCCCUAAGGAAGCACCGGCUAACUCCGUGCCAGCAGCCGCGGUAAUACGGAGGGUGCGAGCGUUGUUCGGAAUCACUGGGCGUAAAGCGCGUGUAGGCGGCAUCCUAAGUCUGGUGUGAAAGCCCGGGGCUCACCCCCGGAAGGGCACUGGAGACUGGGACGCUAGAGUACCGGAGAGGAGGGUGGAAUUCCUGGUGUAGCGGUGAAAUGCGUAGAUAUCAGGAGGAACACCGGUGGCGAAGGCGACCCUCUGGACGGCUACUGACGCUGAGACGCGAAAGCGUGGGGAGCAAACAGGAUUAGAAACCCUGGUAGUCC